rnacentral:rRNA from 1 species
AACGCUAGCUACAGGCUUAACACAUGCAAGUCGAGGGGCAGCAUGAACUUAGCUUGCUAAGUUUGAUGGCGACCGGCGCACGGGUGGGUAACACGUAUCCAGCCUGCCGAUGACUCGGGGAUAGCCUUUCGAAAGAAAGAUUAAUACCCGAUGGCAUAGUUCUUCCGCAUGGUAGAACUAUUAAAGAAUUUCGGUCAUCGAUGGGGAUGCGUUCCAUUAGGUUGUUGGCGGGGUAACGGCCCACCAAGCCUUCGAUGGAUAGGGGUUCUGAGAGGAAGGUCCCCCACAUUGGAACUGAGACAUGGUCCAAACUCCUACGGGAGGCAGCAGUGAGGAAUAUUGGUCAAUGGACGAGAGUCUGAACCAGCCAAGUAGCGUGAAGGAUGACUGCCCUAUGGGUUGUAAACUUCUUUUAUACGGGAAUAAAGUGAGGCACGUGUGCCUUUUUGUAUGUACCGUAUGAAUAAGGAUCGGCUAACUCCGUGCCAGCAGCCGCGGUAAUACGGAGGAUCCGAGCGUUAUCCGGAUUUAUUGGGUUUAAAGGGAGCGUAGGCGGACGCUUAAGUCAGUUGUGAAAGUUUGCGGCUCAACCGUAAAAUUGCAGUUGAUACUGGCGACCUUGAGUGCAACAGAGGUAGGCGGAAUUCGUGGUGUAGCGGUGAAAUGCUUAGAUAUCACGAAGAACUCCGAUUG